rnacentral:rRNA from 1 species
AUUCCAGCUCCAAUAGCGUAUAUUAAAGUUGUUGCAGUUAAAAAGCUCGUAGUUGGAUCUCAGAUCCAGGCUUGCGGUCCACUCCUUGGUGGCUACUGCUCGUCCUGAUCUACCUCCCGGUUUUACCCUUGGUGCUCUUGAUUGAGUGUCUCGGGUGGCCGGAACAUUUACUUUGAAAAAAUUAGAGUGUUCAAAGCAGGCAGCUCGCCUGAAUAAUGGUGCAUGGAAUAAUGGAAUAGGACCUCGGUUCUAUUUUGUUGGUUUUCGGAACUUGAGGUAAUGAUUAAGAGGGACAGACGGGGGCAUUCGUAUUACGGUGUUAGAGGUGAAAUUCUUGGAUCGCCGUAAGACGAACUACUGCGAAAGCAUUUGCCAAGAAUGUUUUCAUUG